rnacentral:rRNA from 1 species
CAGCACCUCAAGUGGUCAGGAUGAUUAUUGGGCCUAAAGCAUCCGUAGCCGGUCUUACAAGUCCUCCGUUAAAUCCAACUGCUUAACAGAUGGGCCGCGGAGGAUACUAUAAGACUAGGAGGCAGGAGAGGCAAGCGGUACUCAGUGGGUAGGGGUAAAAUCCGCUGAUCCAUUGAAGACCACCAGUGGCGAAGGCGGCUUGCCAGAAUGCGCUCGACGGUGAGGGAUGAAAGCUGGGGGAGCAAACCGGAUUAGAUACCCGUGUAGUCC